UACGUAGGUGGCAAGCGGUGUCCGGAAUUAUUGGGCGUAAAGCGCGCGCAGGCGGACUCUUAAGCCUGAUGUGAAAGCCCCCGGCUCAACCGGGGAGGGCCAUUGGAAACUGGGAGACUUGAGUCCAGAAGAGGAGAGUGGAAUUCCACGUGUAGCGGUAAAAUGCGUAGAUAUGUGGAGGAACACCAGUGGCGAAGGCGACUCUCUGGUCUGUAACUGACGCGGAGGCGCGAAAGCGUGGGGAGCAAACAGG
rnacentral:rRNA from 1 species